UACGUAGGGUGCAAGCGUUAUCCGGAAUGAUUGGGCGUAAAGCGUGCGCAGGUGGUUAUACAAGUCUGCUGUGAAAGCGCAAGGCUCAACCUUGUAAAGGCAGUGGAAACUGUGUGACUAGAGAGUGAUAGGGGCAGAGGGAAUUCCCAGUGUAGCGGUGAAAUGCGUAGAGAUUGGGAAGAACACCGGUGGCGAAGGCGGCGAGCUGGUCCAUUACUGACGCUGAGGCGCGACAGCGUGGGGAGCAAACAGG
rnacentral:rRNA from 1 species